AUGAACAUGAGGGUCACUGCUCAGCUCCUGGGGCUUUUGGUGCUCUGGCUGCCAGGAACCAGGUGUGACAUCCAGAUGACCCAGUCUCCAUCCUCCCUGUCUAUGUCUCCUGGAGACAGAGUAACCAUCACUUGCAGAGCCAGUCAGGACAUUUAUAAUGCUCUAAAUUGGUAUUAUCAGGAACCAGGGAAAGCUCCUGAACUCCUGAUCUAUUCUGCAAUCUUUCUGCAACCUGGGGUCCCAUCCAGAUUCAGUGGCAGUGGAUCUGGGGCAGAUUACACUAUCACCAUCAGCAGCCUGGAGCCUGAGGAUGUUGCAACUUAA